rnacentral:lncRNA from 1 species
AUUUGUCAUGACUGUAGAUUCUUGUUCGUUGUGUUCUUGUGUCUGGUUUUGUCUUGUGGUUUCUUGUAUUUGAUUUCCUUGUCUUUGUAUCUUGUCUUGUGUCUUGUUUUUCCCAUGCCCUCAUGUGUCCUUUAAGUUCUCCUGUGUUUUUUCCUAUCUUCCCUCUGGCUCCCUCUGUCUAUUGCUUUGUUCCCUUCAUGUUCUCAUGUGCUCCUCCCCUUCGUUACCUCACCUGUUGGUCCACCUCACCUGUUCCUCGUCUUGUCAUCAGUGUCUGUGUAUUUAGUCUCUGUGUUCCCCUCACUCCUUGUCUGGUCAUUGUAAUUGUCAGCCUCUGUCGCCUCCAUGUUCCUGUUCAUGUGCCUGCUCAUGUGCCUGCUCCUGUGCCUGCUCCUGUCUGUUCCUGUCUGUUCCUCGAUCCCCGAUCCCCGAUCCCCGAUCCCCAUGCUCCUGGGUGGUUGGAGCUGGUACGCCAGACAGGACUCCAUGUUGACGUGGGUCAUCUGGCCUCAUGGUUGUUAGUCGAGGCAGCCCAUGUCCUGAGGAAACCCGUUUCCUUAUUAUUGUCUUUUGAAGAUCUGGGAUGUAACUG